GCCGUCGUAGCACAAUGGUAGUGCGUUGCUUUCCUAUUACUCAUAGGCAAAGGUUGCGAGUUCGAGUCUCGCCGUCGGUU